GACGAACGCUGGCGGCGUGCCUAAUACAUGCAAGUAGAACGCACAGUUUAUACCGUAGCUUGCUACACCAUAGACUGUGAGUUGCGAACGGGUGAGUAACGCGUAGGUAACCUGCCCGGUAGCGGGGGAUAACUAUUGGAAACGAUAGCUAAUACCGCAUAAUAUUAAUUAUUGCAUGAUAAUUAAUUGAAAGGUGCAAUUGCACCACUACCAGAUGGACCUGCGUUGUAUUAGCUAGUAGGUGAGGUAACGGCUCACCUAGGCGACGAUACAUAGCCGACCUGAGAGGGUGAUCGGCCACACUGGGACUGAGACACGGCCCAGACUCCUACGGGAGGCAGCAGUAGGGAAUCUUCGGCAAUGGACGAAAGUCUGACCGAGCAACGCCGCGUGAGGGAAGAAGGUUUUCGGAUCGUAAAGCUCGGUUGUAAGAGAAGAACGGGUGUGAGAGUGGAAAGUUCACACUGUGACGGUAUCUUACCAGAAAGGGACGGCUAACUACGUG
rnacentral:rRNA from 1 species